rnacentral:rRNA from 1 species
GGCGUAAGAGCUUGUAGGCGGCUUGUCGCGUCUGCUGUGAAAGCCCGGGGCUUAACCCCGGGUCUGCAGUGGGUACGGGCAGGCUAGAGUGUGGUAGGGGAGACUGGAAUUCCUGGUGUAGCGGUGGAAUGCGCAGAUAUCAGGAGGAACACCGAUGGCGGAGGCAGGUCUCUGGGCCAUUACUGACGCUGAGAAGCGAAAGCGUGGGGAGCGAACAGGAUUAGAUACCCUGGUAGUCCACGCCGUAAACGUUGGGCGCUAGGUGUGGGUCCCAUUCCACGGGGUCCGUGCCGCAGCUAACGCAUUAAGCGCCCCGCCUGGGGAGUACGGCCGCAAGGCUAAAACUCAAAGGAAUUGACGGGGGCCCGCACAAGCGGCGGAGCAUGCGGAUUAAUUCGAUGCAACGCGAAGAACCUUACCAAGGCUUGACAUGUACCGGAAACCCUCGGAGACGGGGGCCCCGCAAGGCUGGUACACAGGUGGUGCAUGGUUGUCGUCAGCUCGUGUCGUGAGAUGUUGGGUUAAGUCCCGCAACGAGCGCAACCCUCGUUCUAUGUUGCCAGCGGUUCGGCCGGGGACUCAUAGGAGACUGCCGGGGUCAACUCGGAGGAAGGU